CCUCGCUGGACGCUCCCUUUUUUCCCCCGGCUCCGCCGCCGCCGCCGCCGCCGCCUCCCCCCUCCCUCAACUCCGGGGUGGCGGCUGGCGGCGGCGGCGGCGACAGGCGGUGCUCGGAGCAAGAGUUGCUGCUGGGAAAGAUGGCGGGGAACGGCGCGGGCUUCGCUGGUGCAGGCAGCGGGGAGAUCAUUCAGCUCAAUGUCGGGGGUACCAGGUUCAGCACUUCAAGACAAACACUAAUGUGGAUUCCAGACUCCUUUUUUUCCAGUUUGCUGAGUGGAAGAAUUUCAACACUGAAAGAUGAAACUGGUGCUAUAUUUAUUGAUAGAGAUCCUGCAGCAUUUGCGCCUAUUCUAAAUUUUCUUCGCACAAAGGAAUUAGAUUUUCGGGGAGUAAGCAUUAAUGUGCUCAGGCAUGAAGCAGAAUUUUAUGGAAUCACACCUUUAGUAAGAAGAUUGCUCUUGUGUGAAGAGCUAGAGCGUUCCUCUUGUGGCAGCGUUCUUUUUCAUGGAUAUUUGCCACCUCCAGGCAUUCCAAGUCGUAAGAUCAGCAGCUCUACAGGGACAUCUACUGAUGUUAGAACCCCUCAAAAUUGCCCUGAAGGUGAGGCCCGAGGAGGGAAUAUGCAGCCUUCACUUGCUGGUACUGGAGAAGAUACUGUUAGGCUAGGAUUUCCUGUGGAUCCGCGAAAAGUCUUGAUAGUGGCUGGCCAUCACAACUGGAUUGUAGCUGCAUAUGCUCACUUUGCAGUUUGUUAUAGAAUUAAAGAAUCUUCUGGAUGGCAACAGGUGUUCACAAGUCCAUACUUGGACUGGACUAUUGAGCGUGUGGCUCUGAAUGCAAAGGUUGUUGGUGGUCCACAUGGAGACAAAGAUAAAAUGGUUGCUGUUGCAUCUGAGAGCAGCAUCAUUUUAUGGAGCGUUCAGGAUGGUGGUAGUGGUAGUGAAAUAGGAAUAUUUAGUCUUGGAGUCCCUGUAGAUGCUCUCUUCUUCAUUGGUAACCAGUUGGUGGCUACUAGUCAUACAGGAAAAGUGGGAGUAUGGAAUGCUGUAACUCAACAUUGGCAGGUUCAAGAUGUUGUUCCCAUCACUAGUUACGAUACUGCUGGAUCAUUCUUACUGCUGGGUUGCAACAAUGGAUCCAUAUAUUACAUUGAUAUGCAAAAAUUUCCAUUACGAAUGAAGGAUAAUGAUCUUCUGGUGACAGAACUUUACCAUGAUCCUUCCAAUGAUGCCAUAACAGCACUUAGUGUUUACCUCACACCCAAAACAAGUGUAAGUGGUAAUUGGAUUGAGAUUGCAUAUGGCACAAGUUCUGGAGCAGUCCGUGUGAUUGUGCAACACCCAGAAACUGUUGGGUCAGGCCCUCAACUCUUUCAGACUUUCACAGUUCACCGAAGCCCUGUUACAAAGAUCAUGUUGUCUGAGAAACAUCUGGUGUCAGUUUGUGCAGAUAACAAUCAUGUUCGGACAUGGACAGUAACUCGUUUCCGAGGAAUGAUUUCAACACAGCCAGGAUCCACUCCUUUGGCAUCAUUUAAAAUUUUGUCCUUGGAGGAGACUGAAAGUCAUGGCAGUUACUCUUCUGGAAAUGAUAUAGGGCCGUUUGGUGAGCGAGAUGAUCAACAGGUGUUUAUCCAAAAGGUUGUUCCCAUCACUAACAAACUCUUUGUGAGGCUUUCUUCUACUGGAAAAAGGAUAUGUGAAAUUCAGGCAGUUGACUGUACUACAAUUUCAUCCUUCACUGUACGAGAAUGUGAGGGAUCCAGUAGAAUGGGCUCAAGGCCACGACGCUACCUCUUCACAGGACAUGUGAAUGGCAGUAUUCAGAUGUGGGACCUGACCACGGCAAUGGAUAUGGUUAAUAAAAGUGAAGAAAAGGAUGUGGGCGGUCCUACUGAAGAAGAACUGCUUAAGCUUUUGGAUCAGUGUGACUUGAGCACAUCUCGUUGUGCAACUCCCAAUAUCAGUCCAGCCACUUCAGUGGUACAGCAAAGUCGCCUGCGUGAAUCAAGCUCUAGCCUCCAGUUGCAGCAUCGUGAAACGAUCCAUGAAACCGCUACAUACGGCGCUAUACGCCCCUAUAGAGAGAGCCCUUUAUUAGCCAGGGCACGGCGGACAGAAAGUUUUCACAGUUACAGAGAAAUUCAGGCUUUUAAUUUGAACAAAACUAUGGGAGACAGAGCUGUUCCUCAGAAUGGCAACCAGAGUCCUGUACAAACAGAAGCAAAGAGGAUAGGUGAAAACACGCCUGACAAAAAGGCUUCAGCAUCGGCACUUGAGGUAAGAGCUGCUAAAGCAGCAGACGGAGGGACUGAAGUCCAGAAAGUGCCUGAAGGUUUAUCAGAGUUGAAGAAAAGAGGAACUGAGGAAGAAAAUGAAGCCAAAGUAGACAAUAAAAAGAAAAGUGGGUUUGAAGGAGGAGGGUUCUUGGGAAGGAAGAAAGCCCCUCAUCUCGUGUCUUCACCAAGUAUUGUGGAAGGAGGUUCUGAAGCACUCGGUACAGUUUCCCCGUCACCUACAAAGACGACCAUUUCUCCACGGCAUAAGAAAAGUGACUCUUCUUGCCAGGAUUAUACCUUGUAAAAGUGUUGCAGGACAUCUAUAUCCAAGAUAUAUAUCAAACGUUUUAACACUAAACUGGAUGAAAUGUUUACAUUUACGCAUCUAUCAUAUGGAUUCCAAGUUUGCAACUUGAACCUGCAGUUAUGAGACAUUCCGUGACAUGAUCCCUGCAAUUCAUGAUUUCCUAGAGAGCUUUGCUCAACUGGAUGUGCUAAGGUGGGAAGGGGAGCGACAGGAUUCUACUGAGCCUCUUGUACAAAGGCACCAUGCCCACCUGGGAAAGAAUUUUACCCAAUGUUCAAAGCAAUUCAUGCAAUUUAAUAAUCAUAAGAGCAUGGUAUUAAGGUAGAUCAUUUCUAUAUUGCAGGGAAAGGGUUAGGGUAGGACUAAAACUGCCUUGCCUCGGGCCAUCCAGUUAGUGCAUGACUGAGGUGAGCUUUGAAUUUGAGCCUCCCCAGCUCAUAAUUUUUAACAACCACGGUUUUGUUAAUAUAAUGCCAUUGCUAUACAUGCUGCUUUAUAGGAUCAAAUAAGCAAAAAGACAGGUCCCUGCCCUAUAUUGCUUACAAAGGUACAAAUGUGAACAUACUGUGUCCAGUGUAAGAUGUAUGUUUUAUAGUCUUUAGCACUUCACAUGAUUUAUUAACAUGUUAACUUUUAGGAAUUGUUGUCUGUCCUUUUCUACAGGGGUACAUGUUGUAUAAUGCAUUGUGGAAGGGAAAUGAAGAAUAAAAUCAAACUACCAAUCUA